UAGGUUUUCUGAAUCUUCUGGUUGCGAUGCAUUGUUAGUCUUGGAAGAAGCUGCUUCGGCAAUGGGAGUAGAACUUUCUCUCAAAGUAACACCACUGUUGUCGGCUUCAAGCAAAGGAGAGAGAUCUUCUGCAGGUGGUACAAUUCAAUCGAAACCACGAAUCUUUCAAUGAAGUACAAAGCAGAAAAUUUAUGUAUCUCAACGCUAUGCCCUUACCAAUAAAACCCAUCUUAAACACAAACUCUAACUUUGAGCCCUUGAAGUUAUAAACAAGUAUAAGUCUGUCUACUUAGUGGAUCGGUGCAAAGGACAUAACCAGUAUAGAGUAUAAGGUCUAGGGAAACCGAAAAUAAACAACCAAACAGAAAUCACGAGGAGAUUCUUAC